rnacentral:rRNA from 1 species
GACGAACGCUGGCGGCGUGCUUAACACAUGCAAGUCGUACGGUAAGGCCCUUUCGGGGGUACACGAGUGGCGAACGGGUGAGUAACACGUGAGUAACCUGCCCACAACUUUGGGAUAACGCUAGGAAACUGGUGCUAAUACUGGAUAUGUGCUCCUGCUGCAUGGUGGGGGUUGGAAAGCUCCGGCGGUUGUGGAUGGACUCGCGGCCUAUCAGCUUGUUGGUGGGGUAGUGGCCUACCAAGUCGGCGACGGGUAGCCGGCCUGAGAGGGUGACCGGCCACAUUGGGACUGAGAUACGGCCCAGACGCCUACGGGAGGCAGCAGUGGGGAAUAUUGCACAAUGGGCGCAAGCCUGAUGCAGCAACGCCGCGUGCGGGAUGACGGCCUUCGGGUUGUAAACCGCUUUCAGCAGGGACGAAGCUUUUUGUGACGGUACCUGCAGAAGAAGCACCGGCUAACUACGUG